rnacentral:rRNA from 1 species
CAACUCAGGCAAGAUUACCCGCUGAACUUAAGCAUAUCAGUAAGCGGAGGAAAAGAAAACAACUGUGAUUCCCUUAGUAACUGCGAGUGAAGCGGGAAAAGCCCAUCGUUUAAUCUUCCUGGACUGUGGACAGGACGACGUGUAACGGUAUGGAUAGGUGUACUACUGAUAAUGUCUGAUCAAAGUCCUCCGGAUUGAGGUGCCAAAGAGGGUGACAGCCCCGUAUGUGGUCAGAUGGAAUUGGGUAUGUAACCAAGUCCUAGAGUCGG